AUGUUGACAAAUGAAAAUAAUUGGGCACCUUCUGAGCCAGCUCCUCAGCCAACUCCUGCUCCAAUUACUGAGCCUAUUCUUGAACCAACUCCGAAGAAGAGAGGUGUUCUAUUCCUCAGUCCCGAAGAUAUGCAAGAGGCAAAGAAAUCUAUGAAAGAAAAAGGUAUUAAAGCUGAAGAUGUUAAGAAUUUACCUCCUAUUGAAGAAAUGCAUGGUCUUAAUAUACCGCCUGUUGAAGAAACAUAUGGUCUCAAUUCUUUAUUUACUGAAGAACCUCCUGAUCCCGAUAUCCCAACACAGGUAGUAAAGGUAAAUUCUCUCUAUAGAUAUGAUAAAGCGGAAGUCCCUCCUACUAAAAUUGCUAGUCAGUGCUUGGAUGAGUUUGAUAACUUUAUGUUUAAGCAAGACGACUUCAAUGCUUAUUUUGGUAGACAAUUAAAAAAAAUGCUUAUAUGA
rnacentral:rRNA from 1 species